rnacentral:rRNA from 1 species
AGCGAACGCUGGCGGCAGGCUUAACACAUGCAAGUCGAACGGAUCCUUCGGGAUUAGUGGCGGACGGGUGAGUAACACGUGGGAACGUGCCUUUUGGUUCGGAACAACACAGGGAAACUUGUGCUAAUACCGGAUGUGCCCUUCGGGGAAGGAUUAUCGCCAUUAGAGCGGCCCGCGUCUGAUUAGCUAGUUGGUGAGGUAAAGGCUCACCAAGGCUACGAUCAGUAGCUGGUCNGAGAGGAUGAUCAGCCACACUGGGACUGAGACACGGCCCAGACUCCUACGGGAGGCAGCAGUGGGGAAUCUUGCGCAAUGGGGGAAACCCGUGACGCAGCCAUGCCGCGUGAAUUAUGAAGGUCUUA